rnacentral:lncRNA from 1 species
UGUGAGACUCGUCUCGCUAGCCCGUCAUCCAGACCCUGGCUCAGCCGAGACUCGCCACACAUGUCCAACUGGUGAACCAGCUCUGAUACCAAAUGUAACGACCCAGCCCACUAGCAAUAAUAACUCGUUGAGCCCAACAACCGGCCCAAAAUGCUUAAGCCCAGUUAUUAUUACUAGUGUCUAAGUCUCUUAUAAACCCAAUGACAACCCCAUUCCCAUCCGAUGUGAGACUAUUGGGGUGUCACAGACUCCCCCCGUUAAG